rnacentral:rRNA from 1 species
UUGUGGUUAAAAAGCUUGUAGUUGGAUCUCGGCGGUCUGAGGGCGGUUCGCUUGAUUGAGUGCUACUGCUCUAUAGGCCGUGGUUUUGCCAGAGGUCUCGGGGUGCUCUUAACCGAGUGUCCUGCGAUGCUGGCAGGUUUACUUUGAAAAAAUUAGAGUGCUCAAAGCAGGCUUUUACGCCUGAAUAUUCGUGCAUGGAAUAAUAGAAUAGGAAGUCGUUUCUAUUUUGUUGGUUUUCGGAAAUCGACUUAAUGAUUAAUAGGGACAGUCGGGGGCAUUUGUAUUCAAACGACAGAGGUGAAAUUCUUGGACCGUUUGAAGACAAACUACUGCGAAAGCAUUUGCCAAGAAUGUUUUCAUUAAUCAAGAACGAAAGUUAGAGGUUCGAAGGCGAUUAGAUACCGCCCUAGUUCUAACCAUAAACGAUGCCAGCUAGCGGUCUGCCGACGUUUUCUUUGUAGACUCGGC